CCCUUAGAUGUCCUGGGCCGCACGCGCGCUACACUGAUGCAUGCAACGAGUAUAUAACCUUGGCCUGAAAGGCCUGGGUAAUCUUUUGAACGUGCAUCGUGAUAGGGAUAGAUUAUUGCAAUUAUUAAUCUUGAACGAGGAAUUCCUAGUAAACGCGAGUCAUCAGCUCGCAUUGAUUACGUCCCUGCCCUUUGUACACACCGCCCGUCGCUCCUACCGAUUGAAUGUUCCGGUGAGCUCUUCGGACUGCGCGGUCUGCAGUUUCUGCGUUCCGUGCGGAAAGUUGCGCAAACCUUAACAUUUAGAGGAAGGAGAAGUCGUAACA
rnacentral:rRNA from 1 species